UUUCACCGAGCCUCUCUCCGA
rnacentral:snRNA from 1 species